rnacentral:rRNA from 1 species
GACGAACGCUGGCGGCGUGCUUAACACAUGCAAGUCGAACGAAGUGGCGAACGGGUGAGUAACGCGUAAUCAACCUGCCCUUCCGAGGGGGACAACAGUAGGAAACGACUGCUCAUACCGCAUACUGAAGGGAGGGAUGGAGUCGGAUUAGCUAGUCGGCGGGGUACCGGCCCACCAAGGCGAUGAUCAGUAGCCUGUCUGAGAGGAGUAACGGCCACAUUGGGAUGGAGACACGGCCCAGACUCCUACGGGAUGCAGCAGUGGGGAAUCUGCCGCAAUUGACGAAAGUCUGACGGAGCAACGCCGCGUGAGUGAUGACGGCCUUCGGGUUGUAAAGCUCUGUUAAUCGGGACGCGGUACCGGAAUAGAAAGCCACGGCUAACUACGUGCCAGCAGCCGCGGUAAUUC